ACAAACUUGGUCAUUUAGAGGAAGUAAAAGUCGUAACAAGGUUUUCGUAGGUGAACCUGCGGAAGGAUCAUUAGUGAAUUUCAUUGAAAAUCUUGAAGUUGUCCAAUCUUUUGUCUAUAAAAAGUUGGCUUCUUCUUUAUUCUUCAAAAUUCCUAUUACACACACACUGUGCACUUGUUUCUUUCUUUCACAACAAGUUUUUUUAACACUUGUGUCAAUGAAUAAAAGUUUCAAAUGUUAAACCUUUGAUAAAAAGAAAGUAAAACUUUCAGCAAUGGAUCUCUUGGCUCUCGCAUCGAUGAAGAACGCAGC
rnacentral:misc_RNA from 1 species